rnacentral:rRNA from 1 species
UACGAAGGGGGCUAGCGUUGUUCGGAAUCACUGGGCGUAAAGCGCACGUAGGCGGGUUGUUAAGUCGGGGGUGAAAUCCUGGAGCUCAACUCCAGAACUGCCCUCGAUACUGGCGACCUUGAGUCCGGGAGAGGUGAGUGGAACUCCGAGUGUAGAGGUGAAAUUCGUAGAUAUUCGGAAGAACACCAGUGGCGAAGGCGGCUCACUGGCCCGGUACUGACGCUGAGGUGCGAAGGCCAGGGGAGCAAACGGG